CAAGAAAGCGCCUCGUGAAAUCCAUACUGCAAAAUGUUAUGAAAAAGAUAAAUUCUCGAGCUCCUACAUGGAAAUCACCGAUGUCCGCACAACAAGAUAACGAAGUUGAUUGUGGCCUAUACGUGAUGAGAUUCAUAUUUGACAUAGUGAGUCAUUGUACAGACACACAACAGCUUGAAGAGUUUUGCAAGGGACAAACGGGAAAUCCGUUCACGAGCAAGGAACUCAAUGUAAUUCGAGACAUGUUGGCGGUCUACAUCACAUUUAAUUUGUAAACAUCAUUUAUUUCUGUUUUAACUAUCUUAUUGUACUACAUUAUUACUAAUUAAUUAUGUUUGUUUGUAGUUAUGACACAUUUUUCUAAUUAAUAUCAUAU